rnacentral:rRNA from 1 species
UACGUAGGGAGCGAGCGUUAUCCGGAUUCAUUGGGCGUAAAGAGCGCGUAGGCGGCCUCUCAAGCGGGAUCUCUAAUCCGAGGGCUCAACCCCCGGCCGGAUCCCGAACUGGGAGGCUCGAGUUCGGUAGAGGCAGGCGGAAUUCCCGGUGUAGCGGUGGAAUGCGCAGAUAUCGGGAAGAACACCGAUGGCGAAGGCAGCCUGCUGGGCCGCAACUGACGCUGAGGCGCGAAAGCUAGGGGAGCGAACAGGAUUAGAUACCCUGGUAGUCCUAGCCGUAAACGAUGGAUACUAGGUGGGGGGGGCUCCGCCCUCCGUGCCGCAGCCAACGCAUUAAGUAUCCCGCCUGGGGAGUACGGCCGCAAGGCUAAA